rnacentral:rRNA from 1 species
AGCUCCAAUAGCGUAUAUUAAAGUUGCUGCAGUUAAAAAGCUCGUAGUUGCAUUUCCGAGGCAAGGGAUUAGUCCGACCUUUGGUGGGUAUUUAAUCCUCUUGCCUCGUCCUUGAGUGGUGCUUCUUGGUAUUAAGUUAUCGAGGAGAUAGCCGCUCAUCGUUUACUGUGAGAAAAUUAGAGUGUUCAAAGCAGGCUUAUGCCGUUGAAUAUAUUAGCAUGGAAUAAUAAGAUAGGACCUCGGUUCUAUUUUGUUGUUUUGAGAACCAAGGUAAUGAUUAAUAGGGACAGUUGGGGGUAUUCGUAUUCAGUUGUCAGAGGUGAAAUUCUUAGAUUUACGGAAGACGAACUACUGCGAAAGCAUUUACCAAGGAUGUUUUCA